rnacentral:sRNA from 1 species
CGAGAUUUUUAAACUGGACAGUUCAGUAGUUUUCAGAAACAGGAUAGGAUCAAUAGUGGUUGUAUAAAAACUAAAACUCCUUGGGAAUGGGCGCGUAAAAGGGUAAAUCUUCGCAACCUUGUUUACUGAAGCCCGAUGAGGAAGAGAUAUCCAUACUUCGAAACCUUUAAACAGAUAUUCCAGAUGCGCUCAGAAGAAUGUCGAAUAUAAAUCCUAAAGCUAAAUCAAAGAGAAAUACAUGAUAUAUAUGGCAGUCGGCAUAUUGGUCGUGAUCAAGCUCGAUCACUUGUUGGUUUGAUGGAUUUCUUCUGCUUUAGUGAGGUUAGUUCCUUGUUAUCCUGUUAAUAAAUAAUAACUUUUGUUUUUGUAUUGUGUAAUGUUGGAGCUUUACCUCAGUGAACUUUUGUGCUUUGAGUUUUGUACUCUUCUUCAUAUGUCAAAGAAGAUUAUUGUUGUUUCCUGUAUACAUGUCAUAAAGUUGGGCACACAAAUAAUUGAUUGGCAUCCAUAAUGGCCAUACUGCAAUAUUUUUCUGUCAUUGAUUUGAGCCCCUACAACAUAUGAAGUAGUCAUAGGAUGUAGGGAAAAGUUAAAUCUUGUAAGAUAAAAGGUUACUUCCUUCCCGCACAAUUUUUAAAUAUUUGUCUGAUGAUUAGAUAUUUUUUAUUUUUGAAAAAAAAACCAAAAAAGUAGUUUUGGUGCUUAGUUGCUUUUCCAAUAAUAAACUAAUAUUAAAGCAGAAGUACCGUUUUCAAAAGUUUAUCCAAAUGUACGCACCCUUAUUGAGACUUGACCUAGUAUAUUCAAUCCUAAUUGCCCUUGCUUCUUCAAUUGACCAUUUAUUAUGUUGUUGACGGUUGCACUCAAAGUGAUAGAGACCUUCUUAGACUCUUGUUGGGUUGGAUCUUCCAUUCAAGCUUCAUGACUUUAGAGAACCUUCUUGGAUGUAAGAACUUGCACCAGUUGGGAAUCUUCGUGAGUUAUUGAAGGCUUUCUUGGUUGGACAUGGUCUGGCUGGGUACUUGAUGGUUCACGGUGAGGUUGCUCUCGGCUAUGUUAAAUUUCUUGAUUCGUACUUAGAGGUAAGCGCAACCGUAGGUUGUGGAAGCUAUUAGGAGAGAUUAGGAUAAUGUUUCUUGAAUACUUGAAGGAUUCUUGGAUCCUAACUUGCUUUGAUAUUUCGGCCAAGCAAGAGAAGCAUGAGGUGAAAAUUAUUUUAAUUAUGAAGGUCUGAUGUUGCUAAUCUAAGGAGGCCGAGAGGAUUGAGUUUAGUUUAGGAGGAAAAAAGUUCUUGAAAGGCAAGGUAGGCUUUGAUUCUUUUUAAGGUUUGGCCUUGAGGUUUGUUUUGUUGGGUAAUUUUCUUUGUUGCAAGAAUGAUGAAUUUUGAUGGCUAAAGGAGGAGGUGUGCACACAAGCUCAAAAAAGCAAGAGAAGGAAACCAAGAAUGGUUAGGAGAAAAGAGGAAGGAACAAGACUAAACAAAGACAUUUACCUUGUCAAAAAGUGGCGGUUAGAACUUUGCAUACAUUUGCGGUCUAAAAUAGUGGCGGUUUGCAGACACAGCCACUCUAAUUCUUUCUAUUUAUUUAUUAUUAUUGUUAUGGAUUUUUAUAGGUGAUAACAAUAUUAUUUCUUUUAAUACGCAGAAGAUGGUCAUUGGUAGAAAGCUAAGAAAAUUACCUCAUUAGGUAAAUGACUAAUUAAGCCAUCCUAAUCAACUGACAGUUGUCUAAAAUAAGGGUUUUUUCGUUAUUUGAACUGACCCAUUUGAAUUACCAGUUUAGCAUGGCCUUCUUCUCGGUACUAUCAUACUAAUGAGUGGGAGUAUUGUCUUUUAACGUUUUCCGCUUCACGUGAGUCUGAAUGGUUUGGACCUUCUUCUUCUAUAUAAUAUCAGACCAUCUCUGCUUCUCCCGCUUCCUGUUCUUCUUUUUUUACCUUUUCUGCAAACAAAUAUCAGCCUUCAUUUAUGUUAUCUUUUUUCGUGUUCUAUGCAUCUUUGGACGUGUGAAAGGUUAGUCAUCCACAUAUACUUUUCCUACUUUGUCCACUUUUUCGCUUUCUAUGUUCAUCUUCUUCUCCUUUUUGGACCUCAUCUCUCAACUUUUGGCUUUCUUCGUCUCUUUCUACUUAUUCCUUCUAUUUACAUGUAUAGAACUCAGUAGCUUGACUUCUACUUUGUUAAUCGAACUCUGUUUUUGUUAAAGAUUUGGCGAACAUUGAGUUUAUUAAGUUACGUAUUUUAUAACCCAACUUCUAUUUCGUGUGUAUCUUUGUGGUUUUGGCUUCAAGUUUGUAUUUUUAUUUCAUUAAAUUGAUUCUUCAACUGUUUCCAUCGUGUAUUAGACAAAAACAAAAUUGACAUGAUCAAGAAGAGAAACGUUGAAUCUUGUUGUGAAAUAUAUGGAGAUGAUUCUUACAUAGUAAUCUAAAGUAUCAA